CUACGGGGUGCAGCAGUAGGGAAUCUUCCGCAAUGGGCGAAAGCCUGACGGAGCAACACCGCGUGAUCGAUGAAGGCCGAAAGGUUGUAAAGGUCUUUUCUGAGGGAAGAAUUCUGACGGUACCUCAGGAAUAAGCAACUGCUAACUACGUGCCAGCAGCAGCGGUAAUACGUAGUGUUGCAAACGUUAUCCGGAAUUAUUGGGCGUAAAGCGUCCGCAGGCGGCGAAAUAAGUCGGAUGUUAAAUAUUACAGCUUAACUGUGAUGCUGCAUCCGAUACUGUUUUGCUAGAGACUUCCAGAGGCAAGUGGAAUUCUGUGUGUAGGGGUAAAAUCCGUAGAUACACAGAGGAGCACCAAAAGCGAAGGCAACUUGCUGGGGAAGAUCUGACGCUCAUGGACGAAAGCGUGGGCAGCGAACGGGAUUAGAUACCCGCAGUAGUC
rnacentral:rRNA from 1 species